GAUGAACGCUAGCGGCAGGCCUAACACAUGCAAGUCGAGGAGCAGCACAGAAACAGCAAUGUUUUGGUGGCGACCGGCGGACGGGUGCGUAACGCGUAUGCAACCUACCUUUAACAGGGGGAUAACGGAGAGAAAUUUCCACUAAUACCCCAUAACAUCGAUCAAGGCAUCUUGAUUGGUUGAAAACUCCGGUGGUUAAAGAUGGGCAUGCGUUGUAUUAGGUAGUUGGUGAGGUAAUGGCUCACCAAGCCUACGAUACAUAGGGGGACUGAGAAGUUAGCCCCCCACACUGGUACUGAGACACGGACCAGACUCCUACGGGAGGCAGCAGUGAGGAAUAUUGGUCAAUGGGGGCAACCCUGAACCAGCCAUGCCGCGUGCAGGAAGACGGCUCUAUGAGUUGUAAACUGCUUUUAAACAGGGAUAAAGCACAGUAUGUAUACUGUGUUGAAGGUACUGUAAGAAUAAGGAUCGGCUAACUCCGUGCCAGCCGCCACCGUAA
rnacentral:rRNA from 1 species